GAUGAACGCUAGCUACAGGCUUAACACAUGCAAGUCGAGGGGCAGCAUUUUAGUUUGCUUGCAAACUGAAGAUGGCGACCGGCGCACGGGUGAGUAACACGUAUCCAACCUGCCGAUAACUCCGGAAUAGCCUUUCGAAAGAAAGAUUAAUACCGGAUAGCAUACGAAUAUCGCAUGAUAUUUUUAUUAAAGAAUUUCGGUUAUCGAUGGGGAUGCGUUCCAUUAGUUUGUUGGCGGGGUAACGGCCCACCAAGACAACGAUGGAUAGGGGUUCUGAGAGGAAGGUCCCCCACAUUGGAACUGAGACACGGUCCAAACUCCUACGGGAGGCAGCAGUGAGGAAUAUUGGUCAAUGGGCGAGAGCCUGAACCAGCCAAGUAGCGUGAAGGAUGAAGGCUGUAUGGGUCGUAAACUUCUUUUAUAUGGGAAUAAAGUUUUCCACGUGUGGAAUUUUGUAUGUACCAUAUGAAUAAGGAUCGGCUAACUCCGUGCCAGCAGCCGCGGUAAUACGGAGGAUCCGAGCGUUAUCCGGAUUUAUUGGGUUUAAAGGGAGCGUAGGUGGAUUGUUAAGUCAGUUGUGAAAGUUUGCGGCUCAACCGUAAAAUUGCAGUUGAAACUGGCAGUCUUGAGUACAGUAGAGGUGGGCGGAAUUCGUGGUGUAGCGGUGAAAUGCUUAGAUAUCACGAAGAACUCCGAUUGCGAAGGCAGCUCACUAGACUGUCACUGACACUGAUGCUCGAAAGUGUGGGUAUCAAACAGGAUUAGAUACCCUGGUAGUCCACACAGUAAACGAUGAAUACUCGCUGUUUGCGAUAUACAGUAAGCGGCCAAGCGAAAGCAUUAAGUAUUCCACCUGGGGAGUACGCCGGCAACGGUGAAACUCAAAGGAAUUGACGGGGGCCCGCACAAGCGGAGGAACAUGUGGUUUAAUUCGAUGAUACGCGAGGAACCUUACCCGGGCUUAAAUUGCAACAGAAUAUAUUGGAAACAGUAUAGCCGUAAGGCUGUUGUGAAGGUGCUGCAUGGUUGUCGUCAGCUCGUGCCGUGAGGUGUCGGCUUAAGUGCCAUAACGAGCGCAACCCUUAUCUUUAGUUACUAACAGGUGAUGCUGAGGACUCUAGAGAGACUGCCGUCGUAAGAUGUGAGGAAGGUGGGGAUGACGUCAAAUCAGCACGGCCCUUACGUCCGGGGCUACACACGUGUUACAAUGGGGGGUACAGAAGGCGGCUACCUGGUGACAGGAUGCUAAUCCCAAAAACCUCUCUCAGUUCGGAUCGAAGUCUGCAACCCGACUUCGUGAAGCUGGAUUCGCUAGUAAUCGCGCAUCAGCCAUGGCGCGGUGAAUACGUUCCCGGGCCUUGUACACACCGCCCGUCAAGCCAUGAAAGCCGGGGGUACCUGAAGUACGUAACCGCAAGGAGCGUCCUAGGGUAAAACUGGU
rnacentral:rRNA from 1 species